rnacentral:rRNA from 1 species
UACGUAGGGUGCGAGCGUUGUCCGGAAUUACUGGGCGUAAAGAGUUCGUAGGCGGUUUGUCGCGUCGUUCGUGAAAACUUGGGGCUUAACUCCAAGCGUGCGGGCGAUACGGGCAGACUUGAGUACUACAGGGGAGACUGGAAUUCCUGGUGUAGCGGUGGAAUGCGCAGAUAUCAGGAGGAACACCGGUGGCGAAGGCGGGUCUCUGGGCAGUAACUGACGCUGAGGAGCGAAAGCGUGGGGAGCGAACAGG